rnacentral:rRNA from 1 species
GAGAAACGCUAGCUACAGGCUUAACACAUGCAAGUCGAGGGGCAUCACAGUGUAGCAAUACACGGGUGGCGACCGGCGCACGGGUGCGUAACACGUAUCCAAUCUGCCCGUUACUCGGGGAUAGCCUUCUGAAAGGAAGAUUAAUACCCGAUGGCAUGUAUUUCCGGCAUCGGAGAUGCAUUAAAGAUUUAUCGGUGACGGAUGAGGAUGCGUACGAUUAGCUUGUUGGCGGGGUAACGGCCCACCAAGGCAACGAUCGUUAGGGGUUCUGAGAGAAGGUCCCCCACACUGGAACUGAGACACGGUCCAGACUCCUACGGGAGGCAGCAGUGAGGAAUAUGGUCAAUGGGCGGGAGCCUGAACCAGCCAAGUAGCGUGAAGGAUGACUGCCUACGGGUUGUAAACUGCUUUUAGUUGGGAAUAAAAAGAGGGACGUGUCCCUAAUUGUAUGUACCAUCAGAAAAGG